GCCCUGACUGCCCCCUGGGCACCGGCGCGGGGCGGCCGUCCGGAGCGGGACUCACUGCACGCCCCAGCUCCGCACCUGCCAGCGCCGGCGCUUCCAAGGCCCCCAAAACGCGGGCGGCGCGCACCCCGGCCGCAUCCCGCCUGCCCGCCCGCCCAGGUCCCGGGAGACGCUCGGCCCGGCCGCCCGGGCCCGCCGCCGCCGCCAUCUUACCGUGCGGAACCUGCCUCCAACGCUGCGCGGUCUGGGCGGCCGCGAUUCCGCAGCCUCUCCUGGGCCGGGGAGGGGUGGCGGCGGCUGGGGCGCCCGAGUAGAAGGAGGCGGAGGCGGGGGCCGCGGCGGAGGCGGAGGCGGGGGCGGGGGCGGGGGCGGGGAGCAGGAGGGCAGGCGCACCGGCGGCCGCCCCUCAGCACCUCUCGCGACAGCACGAGAGCGCGAGAGCGCGAGCCGAUGACCAAUGAAGCGCCCCCGCGAGGAGGCGGGGCGGACGGCCUCCCGGAAGCGCGGGACCUAGUUUCCGUCCUUGCGCAGAACUCCCCUCGCGGAGUCGUCGCGCUACGGGUUGGCGCGAGAGUCAAAAGGCGUCGGCCGCCUCUGGCAAGAUGGCUGCUGCGGAGGCGUUGGAGUGCGGAAACCUGGAGCCGGGAUGGCGACGUCUACACUGAGUCGGAGGCGAAGAGAUGGUGUCUACAUGCUGACAUGUUGCCUGGGCUGGUCUUGAACUCCUGGGCUCAAGCAGUCCUCCCAAGCAGCUGGGAUCACAGAUGCGAAAUAUUGUGCCCAGUUGUGACUGUCUCUUUAAAAGGAGGGGAGUUGGAAUGUUUGUCCCUUGUUCUGAGGUUGCCAGGGAGACCACAGAGGGAAGGCAGUUGGUCUUGAGGCUGAGGAAGAGGUGAGAGCGGGGGCUUGGCUUGGGAGUGUGGGCUUUGGGGCAGGGAGCUAGCUAGAAACCAGGCACCUGGAACCUUUGAGUGUUUUGAUAUGACUAUUUGAAAGAGGAUACAGGAGAAGUGUUUUUUAAAUACACGUGGUGAACUGUAUCGUGCUGAUUUUAGUAAGUCAAACAUUAGUCUUCUAAAAUUUUUCUUGAGUUUUUAAUUAAAAUAAUACAGCUACGAUAUUAAGAAUUUUCAAUAAUUACAUUCGUAUAUAAUUUCGUUAUUCAGUCUUUUCACUUUUUGUUCUUGUUCUUCUGUUUUGUGGUGGAUUUUAUUGAGUGGGGUCCAUCUCGGACAUAGGCUCCAAAUGGAAAAGAAGCUGAUGCUUGGCAACUCAUCUCUGGCCCUGGUCUGGCUGUGCCUCUGCCUGUCUCUCUGGGGCAAGCCUAGGACUCCACCCCUUUCUCUCGGGGGUUGGUAGCAUCUGCUGUCCUGGGUAGAAGUCCUUAAGGACACUGCUCGCAUGCUUGUUUUCAACCCCCUAGCUGUCUUUGUGGGUCACACAGUAUAACUCAAAUAAUAGGUUACUCGAGAAUUCAGUGCUCCCUUUUAAUUGUUGUUGGUACGUAAUUUACUUAAGAUAUGUAAAAU
rnacentral:lncRNA from 1 species